GCCUGGCUGGCUCAGUCGGUAGGGCAUGUGACUCUUGAUCUUGGGGUCAUGAGUUCAAGCCCCAUGCUGGGAA
rnacentral:tRNA from 1 species